CUUAAUAGUGCAAUUUUAUUGCACAGACGCAAAGAAAAAGAUGGUGAAGUAAUCAUGAAGACCGCCAAUUUUUGAAACAACAAACAAAUUCCAUUCUAAGCAGAGUGAUUAUAUUUUCAAAAAUUAAUUUUGGAGUCAAGUUUGAAAGUCCGCAAAAGCUAAUUUGUUUACCAUCUGUAAGCUAUGUAGAGAUGACAACUAGCUUAAUUUUUGCACUUUUGUCAGCAAGCGCUCCAUCUAUCUUUUUUCUUUAGUCUGUGUUUGUCGUCUGUGAUAGUUAAAUUAUAUUUAUUGUUAGGUUAAGUUCUUCUAGUUUAAUUUAAAAACCACCUCGUAUUAAGAGCUUGUCAUCAAAAUUUCCUAGAAGUACGUAGGUAAGGGUAGUAGCAGUGGCUUCAAGAAAUUACAAUUUGUAUGCGAGGUGCGUUUCAAAGUAUUGUUAAAAUGUGAUUGUAGCAUGUUGUGUUGCUGUGAAUGUUCCUUUUCUGACAAUUUAUGUAAAGCCUGUAAUGUACAAAAUAUAAUAUAAUUAAUUUAAAACU